GCCAGGUGUGGUGGUGCACGCCUGUAGUCCCAGCUACUCAGGAGGCUAAGAUUGGGGAAUUGCUUGAGCCCAGGAGGUCGAGGCUGCAGUGAGCUGAGAUCAGGCUGCUGCACUCCGGCCUGGGCAACAGAGCAAGACUCUGUCUCAA
ensembl:misc_RNA Metazoa_SRP Metazoan signal recognition particle RNA